CUGGCCAAGAACCCUGGGGCCUGUCCUUCAGUAACAGAAGAGGGACAGGAUGGGCAGCACCAGUACAAUCUUCCUCUGCAUCAUGCCCCACCACACCACUUUGCCUCAAAAUAGUUCUGGAAGAAUUAUCUACCGGUGAGGAUAGUUCAGUCUCCAUAGCACAUUCCAAUCCUUGGCUGUU
rnacentral:sRNA from 1 species